UGCGAGUCAUUGUAGUAAUACAAGGCAGACGGCUCAGUAACGCGUAGUCAACCUAACCUAUGGACGGGAAUAACCUCGGGAAACUGAGUAUAAUGCCCGAUAGAACAUUAUACCUGGAAUGGUUUAUGUUCCAAAUGAUUUAUCGCCGUAGGAUGGGACUGCGGCCUAUCAGUUUGUUGGUGAGGUAAUGGCCCACCAAGACUAUUACAGGUACGGGCUCUGAAAGGAGUAACCCGGAAAUGGGUACUGAGACACGGACCCAGGCCCUAUGGGGCGCAGCAGGCGAGAAAACUUUGCAAUGUGCGAAAGCACGACAAGGUUAAUCCGAGUGGUUUCUGCUAAAGGAACCUUUUGUCGGUCCUAGAAACACCGAUGAAUAAGGGGUGGGCAAGUUCUGGUGUCAGCCGCCGCGGUAAAACCAGCACCUCAAGUGGUCAGGAUGAUUAUUGGGCCUAAAGCAUCCGUAGCCGGCUUUGUUAGUUUUCGGUUAAAUCUGUACGCUCAACGUACAGGCUGCCGGGAAUACUGCAGAGCUAGGGAGUGGGAGAGGUAGACGGUACUCGGUAGGAAGGGGUAAAAUUCUUUGAUCUAUUGAUGACCACCUGUGGCGAAGGCGGUCUACCAGAACACGUCCGACGGUGAGGGAUGAAAGCUGGGGGAGCAAACCGGAUUAGAUACCCGGGUAGUCCCAGCUGUAAACUAUGCAAACUCAGUGAUGCAUUGGCUUGUGGCCAAUGCAGUGCUGCAGGGAAGCCGUUAAGUUUGCCGCCUGGGAAGUACGUACGCAAGUAUGAAACUCAAAUGAAUU
rnacentral:rRNA from 1 species